CCUACGGGCGGCAGCAGUCGAGAAUCAUUCACAAUGGGGGAAACCCUGAUGGUGCGACGCCGCGUGGGGGAAUGAAGCUCUUCGGAUUGUAAACCCCUUUCGUGUGGGAGCAAAUUAAAAAGAUAGUACCACAAGAGGAAGAGACUGCUAACUCUGUGCCAGCAGCCUCGGUAAUACAGAGGUCUCAAGCGUUGUUCGGAAUCACUGGGCGUAAAGCGUGCGGAGGCUGUUUCGUAAGUCGUGUGUGAAAGGCGCGGGCUCAACCCGCGGACGGCACAUGACACUGAGAGACUAGAGUGAUGGAGGGGGAACCGGAAUGCUCGGUGUAGCAGUGAAAUGCGUAGAUAUCGAGAGGAACACUCGUGGCGAAGGCGGGUUCCUGGACAUUAACUGACGCUGAGGCACGAAGGCCAGGGGAGCGAAAGGGAUUAGAUACCCCAGUAGUC
rnacentral:rRNA from 1 species